GAUGAACGCUGGCGGCGUGCCUAAUACAUGCAAGUCGAGCGAACAGACGAGGAGCUUGCUCCUCUGACGUUAGCGGCGGACGGGUGAGUAACACGUGGAUAACCUACCUAUAAGACUGGGAUAACUUCGGGAAACCGGAGCUAAUACCGGAUAAUAUAUUGAACCGCAUGGUUCAAUAGUGAAAGACGGUUUUGCUGUCACUUAUAGAUGGAUCCGCGCCGCAUUAGCUAGUUGGUAAGGUAACGGCUUACCAAGGCAACGAUGCGUAGCCGACCUGAGAGGGUGAUCGGCCACACUGGAACAGAGACACGGUCCAGACUCCUACGGGAGGAAGCAGUAGGGAAUGUUACGCAAUGGGCGAAAGCCUGCCGGAGCAACGCCGCGUGAGUGAUGAAGGUCUUCGGAUCGUAAAACUCUGUUAUUAGGGAAGAACAAAUGUGUAAGUAACUAUGCACGUAUUGACGGUACCUAAUCAGAAAGCCACGGCUAACUACGUG
rnacentral:rRNA from 1 species